rnacentral:rRNA from 1 species
GGAGCUCAGUGCUGUUGGGGUUCGAUUAACACAUGCGAGUCGGCUGGUUGUGCGCAAGUGCAGCUGGCGGCGAACUGCUGAGUAACACGUAGUUAACCUGCCCUCGGGAGGCGGAUACCCUCGCGAAAGUGAGGUUAACCCGCCAUAGGUGUUGGAGGCUGGAAGGCACCGACGCUCAAAUCUGAAGCGUAAAAGCGUAGGGCCCGAGGAUGGGACUGCGGCCUAUCAGGUAGACGUCAGGGUAAACACCUGACGUGCCGAUAACGGGUAGGGGCUGUGUGAGCAGUAGCCCCCAGAUGGAUUCUGAGACAUGAAUCCAGGCCCUACGGGGCGCAGCAGGCGCGAUG